UACGUAGGGGGCAAGCGUUGUCCGGAAUCAUUGGGCGUAAAGAGCGCGUAGGCGGUCCGGUACGUCGGCUGUGAAAGUCCAGGGCUCAACCCUGGGAUGCCGGUCGAUACUGCCGGACUAGAGUUCGGAAGAGGCGAGUGGAAUUCCCGGUGUAGCGGUGAAAUGCGCAGAUAUCGGGAGGAACACCGAUGGCGAAGGCAGCUCGCUGGGACGUUACUGACGCUGAGACGCGAAAGCGUGGGGAGCAAACAGG
rnacentral:rRNA from 1 species